CGUAGGGCGCAAGCGUUGUCCGGAAUUAUUGGGCGUAAAGAGCUUGUAGGUGGCUUGUCGCGUCUGCCGUGAAAACCCAAUGCUUAACGUUGGGCGUGCGGUGGGUACGGGCAGGCUAGAGUGUGGUAGGGGAGACUGGAAUUCCUGGUGUAGCGGUGAAAUGCGCAGAUAUCAGGAGGAACACCGAUGGCGAAGGCAGGUCUCUGGGCCAUUACUGACACUGAGAAGCGAAAGCAUGGGGAGCGAACAGGAUU
rnacentral:rRNA from 1 species